rnacentral:rRNA from 1 species
GUGGGGGAUAUUGCACAAUGGGGGAAACCCUGAUGCAGCGACGCCGCGUGAAGGAAGACGUACUUCGGUAUGUAAACUUCUAUCAGCAGGGAAGAAGAUGACGGUACCUGACUAAGAAGCCCCGGCUAACUACGUGUCAGCAGCCGCGGUAAUACGUAGGGGGCAAGCGUUAUCCGGAUUUACUGGGUGUAAAGGGAGCGUAGACGGUGAAGCAAGUCUGAUGUGAAAACCCGGGGCUCAACUCCGGGAUUGCAUUGGAAGCUGUUUUACUUGAGUGCUGGAGGGGCAAGCGGAAUUCCUGGUGUAGCGGUGAAAUGCGUAGAUAUCAGGAAGAACACCGGUGGCGAAGGCGGCUUGCUGGACAGUAACUGACGUUGAGGCUCGAAAGCGUGGGGAGCAAACAGGAUUAGAAACCCCGGUAGUCC